GCUGACCACCACAUCGCCCUCGCGAAGGCGGGGGCCCAUUCCACGUUGCCGAAUUCGGUGAGAUGGAAUAGGUCCCCGCCUUCGCGAGGACGAUGUAGUGGUGCGC
rnacentral:pre_miRNA from 1 species